rnacentral:lncRNA from 1 species
AGUACAAGACUGGUGAUAGAAUAUUCAAAAACAGAAAAGGGAUUUAUUUCGAUUUUUAGAAGACAACAACGAACUGGGAUUUUGGGAGAAACAUAAAACAUGAAACCAGAGAAACUAUCUGAAGCAUGUUUGGAAUCAAGGAACGAUCCUAAAAGCCUUGUACUUAUCAAUCCAAUAGGUAAAAGAGUUGUUGGAGUUCCUAAAACCAAGGAAGCCAUGUUCCUUACUCUUGUUCAUACUAUCAAUGACUCCUUCAACUCCAAGUGCAACAUCCGCAAACCACCACACACCAACUUCGUCAAGCUUCUUCUCCUGCAACUGAUUCUCCUUAACCAUCUCCUCCCACACUCUCUCUUUCCCUUUCAUCAUCUCCACCAGCCCCAGAUUCUUCCCUUCCUCAAAUCCAUACUCCUCAAUCCCAAACUGCUCGGCAAGAAUCUUCCACAGAUGCUUCCACUUGAAGAUAUCCGCAUUGUUGCAGUUAAACGCCUCGUUCUUCGCAUACGGAUCAACCGCAGCCCAAAUCUGCUGCUCAGCUAUCAAAUCCGCGUCCGAAGCCGUCGUGAACCCUUCCCACGCCUUCUUGCUCCCAGGAAACAUCAACGGAGACCCUUCAUGCUUACAGAUGGCAGCAUAAACACAAAGAGUCCCAACUAUGUUCAUCAAACUGUAAGGAGAGAACCCAAAGAUCAUGUUCGGUCUAUGUAUGGACCACGUAACACUUUCUUUCUUUUGGAUCUCUUCAAACAGAACAUCCUCCUGAGUGUAAUAGAAAUUCUGGAUCUGCAAUCUCGGCAUAUCCUCUGUAAACGGCGGUUCGUGGUGAGGGCCGUCGAGGUUGCUGAAAGGACCGACGUAGUGCUUCGUCCCCGUCUGGAGACAAACGUGACGGAGGUUUGGCGCGUGAGGGACAAUUGCUCGGAGGACGUUACGGAGCAUUGCGCCGUUAGCUUCGCAGUUCUCGCUCUCAGAUUCGCGGUUGGUCCAGGUGACGUAGAAGACGUGUGUGACGUCGGUUAAAGUGGAAAUCUUGGAUCUUGUUUCUUCGGCGUCGGAGACAUCGCACUGGAUGUAAUCGAUCGGAUGAUCGGCGUUCCAGUUGGGACGAGGACGGCGAGCGACGCCGUAGACUUUCCAGGGACCGCCGGGGGUGUCGGAAAGAGGGAGAAUCUCCGCCAAGCUGUUACCGACGAUUCCUGUGACGCCGAUGAUGAGAGCGACACUUUCGUAGCUUUGCGUUGGCUCAUCUUCAUCGAGUUUCUUCUGCGAUAACACAAAAUGAAAAAGAAAGAGAGAAGAUUAAUACUUCCUCAGUUCCAUUUUAUGAUUUGGUUAAAAGCACAACACUGGUCAUAACCAAUUAAAAUAAUAUAAAUUAUGCAUAGAAAAUUAAAAAUAAAAAAUAAAAAAAUGGAACAAAUGAAAAAUGUUAAAAACGCUAAUACUUUGGAACGGAGAGAGUACUAAUCAGUGACUAUUAUCAAUUAAGAUGAUGAUCAAUGAUGAAUCAGGGGUUGAGUUGAAUUUUACCUUGGCAGCUCCGAUGGCACCAGCCCACCACCAACUCAUUAUCCUCGAUUUCUGAUUUACAAGAGGCUAAAGAGAUGUGUUUGUGGCUAAGACAGCCGUGUGGGGGUCGUCUCUUUUGAGUGUUUUGUAGUCAUCUUCUAUAGGGAAAGAUAAAUAUCUGUGUAAGCUAAACUGGUCAUCUAUCUUACAAAAUCUCGAGUCAAAUAAAUUUGUCUUGGAAACGAUUUUCUUACCACAAAACCAGUUUAAGCAAUAUAAUCACGAGUCAACUCAACUCUGCUUUAUUUAUAAAUUUUAUAUAUAUAUUUGAAAAUGCUUUCGUAGGAAUCAACAAGUCAAAAAAAGCGUGAAACUGAACCCACAAUCUAAAGGCCAUAACUACUAGUCUACUACUAGAUGACAGGUUUUGUAUAACCGAUAUUGAAAUUUCAUUUUCUUUCACAAAUCUGGCAACUAAACAAUAUUGAAAAUUCACAAUUGUGUAAUUUUCUAAGGGAAUAAUGUCAAACUAAUCGUGAACUUCCUAUGAAAAAAAAACAUGAAUUUUUGAAAUAUUAUGUAAAUCUGAAAAUUUAGUGAGUUUAUGGUAAGAUGGUCAAGUCUCGUUUACCAAAUCAUUUUACACACAACGUUAAGUUUCUGGUAAUAAAAAAUAUACCAUAAUCAAAUUAUCCAGAUGAAAAAUUUCUUACUUUAUGGACCUUUGGAUUCAAAUAAGAGGAAUACCUUUGCCGUAUGUAUAUGAAAGGACUGUUAGAUUUUAUUGCUAACACUCUUGGGGAAGUUCUUGAUCUGGAUUUCGAUGAAGAAACUACAAUGCAUAUUGUAUUUUUUCGAUUCAAAGUAAAAAUUGAAAUUAUAGACAUAUUUCGUUUCUUUCGAAGAAUUAUGUUUUCAUCUGGAAAAGGAGCUACGGUUGGUUUUGAAUAUGAAAAACUCAGAAAAAUCAACCAUCAACAUAGAUCACGCUACGGUUGGUGGGUUCUCAAGCUAAAGCCAAGUAUGAGAUUGGAGAGAGUUCUAAAAGAAUGAAAGGCAGGCAAUCAACAUAGAUCACGCUAGGGACACUCGCCAAUGUAGAAAAGAGCUUGGAGUUAAGUUUUACCUGGUAACUCGAGACCCUCCAUGAAUUUCUCUACAAGAACAAAACAGCUCAGAGACAGUUUUGGUUUUGGUCUCUGAGAAAAACUCCACUGGAGAAGUUUUUUUUUUAAAUAGAAUAAAAAAAACUCAUAGAUCACAAGUUGGUUGCUCCUGGUUUACUUUUUGAUUGUAGCUUUAUUGGGAUGAAGGAAGAUCGGGAAUAGGAGUCUUGUAAGAUCUUCAACUACUUUUUAAAGAUAUUCUGUUACUAAUUCUCAUAAGGAUGGAGAGAUGAUGUGUAAGAACUUAGGCCAUCAUUAUUGAUGGUCUUAUCAUAGCUUGGGUAAAUGAUAAACGCUCUAAAACAAAGAUUGGAAGUAUGGUCUUAUUGGGAAUGUUAUGAAGAUUGCUCGGUUUUUACCAUCUUACAUCUGUUUGCAUUGGUAGUUCAAUGUUGGUUUAGUAUGUUGGUGUUCUAAUUGUAACUUCAAUUGUGUUGUUUUUUCAUGUUUUAACUUAAAAAUGGUGUGGUAAUGGUCUUGUAAACUUAGCUUUUCUAAAAUGGAUUCUCCAUUGAUGGAAAAUGCUGUAGGGACAUUUUUCUCAAUUUUCUAAUCUUAUAAAUUUUGUAUGCGAAGACUGAAGUAGAUCGGUCAUACAAAAAAUAUAUGUAAAAAUGUAGAAAUGUAGAAAUGUAAAAUGGGAAAAAUGUCAUAAAAAUCCCAAACUUUCAAAUUUGAGACGAUUUAAUCCCGAACUUUAAAGAAGUCAUUUUAAUCACAAAGUUUUGUUGUCUUUUCCGUAAAAUAGCUAUGUUUUGUUGACUUAGCCGAUUUAAACACGACGUUUAGUUUCUCUUAAAAUUGCAAAGACGGGGUUAACUGUCCGUGAGUUGCUUCCGUUUCAAACCACAAAACGACAUCGUUUAACAAACUGAUUAAACUAAAUCCCAAAAUCGAUUCACAGUUCACAAAUCUAACUCCCUAACCCUAGAAAAAUCCACAAAUUCUCUUUACUUCUUGAAUUGUUGCCAUAGCGCAGAUCCCUGGGGAAGAAAACGACUUCCAACGUCGUUUUGUCGUCUAAGAAAUAUGGUCAUUUAGGCUAAACAGAAGCAUAUCACAGAUAGUUAACCACAUCUUCAAAUUUUUAACAAAAAAAUAAAUUUCAUGCUUAAAUAAGUGAAGUCAACAAAACUUAGCUAUUUUACGGAAAAGUCAACAAAACUUUGUGCUUAAAAUGACUUCUUUUAAGUUCAGGAUUAAAUCGUCCCAAAUUUGAAAGUUCAGGAUUUUUAUGACAUUUUUCCCAAUGUAAAAUUAGGUGCAACUUUGGGUUGUGGAGAGUGUAUGCGUAAUAGUGUAUUACAUCAUCCUCACCCAAUGAUUUAGGUCUUUCAUUCGAUCCUUUCGGUUAAAGGAAGCUGAUUAUAUAGAUUUGCCAUCAAAACUCCAGAGAGAGAGAGAGGUUCCAUUAAAGAGAAAAUAUAACUUUGUCAUCUAUUCCAAAAGGCAACCAUAGGGUUUACAAGACUAGAUAUGGAAUAUUCAAAAACAGGAAAGGGCGAAUCCGCUUUUAUUUCAAUUUUUAGAAGACAACAAACGAACUGAGAUUUUGGGAGAAACAGAACAUGUAACCAGAGAACUAUCCAAAGUAAGUUUUGGAAUCAAGGAACGAUCUUAAAAGCCUUGUACUUAUCAAUCCAAGAGAUGAAAGAGUUGUUGGAGUUCCUAAAACCAAGGAAGCCAUGUUCCUUACUCUUGUUCAU